ACUCGACUCCGUGAAGCUGGAUUCGCUAGUAAUCGCGCAUCAGCCAUGGCGCGGUGAAUACGUUCCCGGGCCUUGUACACACCGCCCGUCAAGCCAUGGGAGCCGGGGGUACCUGAAGUCCGUAACCGCGAGGAUCGGCCUAGGGUAAAACUGGUGACUGGGGCUAAGUCGUAACAAGGUAAC
rnacentral:rRNA from 1 species